rnacentral:rRNA from 1 species
UGCCAGACUCCUACGGGAGGCAGCAGUGAGGAAUAUUGGUCAAUGGGCGCGAGCCUGAACCAGCCAAGUCGCGUGAGGGAAGACGGUCCUAUGGAUUGUAAACCUCUUUUGUCGGGGAGCAAAAGACGCCACGUGUGGCGUUCCGAGAGUACCCGAAGAAAAAGCAUCGGCUAACUCCGUGCCAGCAGCCGCGGUAAUACGGAGGAUGCGAGCGUUAUCCGGAUUUAUUGGGUUUAAAGGGUGCGUAGGCGGGACGUUAAGUCAGCGGUAAAAAUGCGGAGCUCAACUCCGUCGAGCCGUUGAAACUGCCGUUCUUGAGUGAGCGAGAAGUAUGCGGAAUGCGUGGUGUAGCGGUGAAAUGCAUAGAUAUCACGCAGAACUCCGAUUGCGAAGGCAGCAUACCGGCGCUCAACUGACGCUGAAGCACGAAGGCGUGGGUAUCGAACAGGAUUAGAUACCCUCGUAC